rnacentral:tRNA from 4 species
UGAGGGAUCGUCCAGUGGUAAGACACCAGACUCUGGAUCUGGGAACGGUGGUUCGAGCCCACCUCCCUCAGCCA